CUCUGAGACAGAAGGAGCCCAGCUGCAGAGAAUCUAGGCCACUGUGACUUGGUCUUCCCCUCUCUGGGAUAUCACAAAGGCCAUAUGAGGUCAGUGAACCAAUCUACAAGAGAAGGGCUGAGCAGGGGACCUGAGAUGAUUUUCUCCAAUAUUUAGUCAGACUGAUUUUCUGGAUCCAAGUUUCUCAACUUACCAAAUGUGGGCAAAUCAUUAUAUUGCUCCCAGCCUUAAAAAUCUUCAAUAAGUUAAAGAGAGGACUCAGGCUUAAUGGCAAUCCUGUUAUCUUACCAAUGAGGAGACUAAACACCUAGUUGGAGAUCACCUCCUUACUGGCUCAGAGCUUCAGGAAAUAGCUCAAGGAUGUGCAAAUACUAAACAGUAGAGCUGGGAUUUAGAUCCACAUCUACUUAAUUUUAGUGCGUAUGCUCUAACUGCUGCCACAGAAGGGAUGCAGAGGAAGACGGUCAGUUACCCAGAGGGUGAUAUCUUUGACUUAAUGUUCACCAUAAAGACAGCUAUCAACAAAAGACUUGAAUUCUAACUUGUUAUCUAUUGCAGGAAAGUGCCUGCAAUAUGCCAUUGUGACAAGGCACCAUCAAUCAUCAUGUCCCUUUACCAGGAGGGCCCGUGUCAUAAGCCACUAUAUAAAGGGAAUGAUGGGUGGACUGCUUUGGACAAAUGGACCUGCGGUAGGAGAGAGGGACAACAGUAGGAGCAGGCAGAUCUUGCUGUUUCAACCAAAACCUCAUGCUGACCAGAGUUGAGGAACAGAAGAAGAUGGUGAAGGCCUGCAGGUAUAGGUGUUCAGCAUGUCAUCUGAAAUAUUCCCCACAGAGGCAAAAAGAAAGGAAAUUAUCUCUGAAAAGGAAUGGGAGGACAAGUCAGCAGAAUAUGUCAAUGUUUUGGUUGAAGAAGCUGCUUGAAUCUGGGCUUUUCUGUGCCAUGUGUUCUCCCAGGGCCAGCACAAAGAAGGGCUUUUGGUGCAGGCCCAAGACCACCAUAAUCAUCAUUGAUUAUUCCUCUCCACGCCAGUGUCUCUAAAUAAACUUUCUCUUCUUUCUCUGACAAAGGUGUUUUUGAGUGUUACUGUUUAGCUGAAGAGUGACGUUGAGUGACCUUAGUACCCUAGCCCUUCAUGUAAUCAGAUGGGUGUUGUAAGCAGAGGGAGAACCAUGUGAGUCAGGAGGAAAUAUGUAGUUUACCCUUUUUUUCCUGUUUGAAAGAUUUACUAUGAUGUUCAUGGUUGGGCUUUUGUUUGGGAUAAAUUGAGAUGCUUUCUGGAUAUGAUAAGGGCUUAUUUGGUUUGAUAGACCGUCUAAACAAGGCCAGUGCAGGCUGAGCCAGGUGAACCACCAGAUCACCAUCAGCUCACACUUCUCAUUCAUUUGUUAGCAGAAAUGAAGAUGCUUGUUUUCCUAGAAACAAGCCCAGGUCAUCCAUCAUGAAGUCCAGGAAUUGUAAAUGUGAGGAAGUGCAAAGACACAACGUACACUUACAAAGGCAUAUGUGCAUUUGGAAUUCUUUAAAGGACAACAUCCUCGAGCUUCUCCUGAUGGGGCCUCCACGUGAAAAGUAACUACAAAACAGAACCAGAAAAUAGUCAUGCUGUUCAAGCCUGUGCUGAGAGUGAAAUGUGUUACUACACGUGCCUCACCUUCAUUUUCAACAGGACCUAUUGCCAGUAAGUGCUCGUUAAUGUUAGCCAUUAUUCUUGGCAUUGCUGUUGUUAUUAGUGUCAGCCAUCAUUCUCUCAGCCAAGAGAUCCUUCCAGAAGAGAAGUUCUCCAUGGAGGGGGAUGGGAGAUGAG
rnacentral:lncRNA from 1 species